AACUCAGGCUCCUUCCCCACCAGAGAGGUGACAUUCCAUGCUUCAUCAUACUGUAUGUGGAAUUGCAUGAGAUGGGCAGGAUCAGUUGGGUGUGCAAGCCCAAGUAGGUUUGAGAAUGUCCUCUCUAUGGCUUCACUGGCUUCACUCUCCUCCUCUCUGGGCUCUGACUCACUCUCUGACUCUCUCACUCCAGUCUCUUUCUCCUGGCUUGGCUUUCCUCUACAUUCUCUCUAGACUCUGCCUGUGACUCAGUCUUUGCCUCACUUCCUCCUUCCAUUUCCUCAUCUGAGCUAUCACUCUCCACUUGCUGUUCAUCUGAGAACAUGGCACAGUUUGCUAUUGCAUUAAUCUAUUAUUUAAUUAUCCACACUUAACAACUUUUGCACCUAGUCCAUGAUAAAGUAAUGAUAGAAAAUGUUAUAGAACCCAAACAUUGCAAUUGUGUUUAUUAUUAUUUUUAUCCUUGAAUACCUCGGCAAUGCAACAACUGGUACAUGUGUUAUUGUUACCUGUGCUCUUUUUAAUCCAGCUGGUGAGGGAUCCACUGCCUCACACACCUCCUUUUGUAGCCGUUUCUUCCUCCUCUCCUUAUGAGGCAUUUCUGCACAAUGUUAUAUCAUGAGUAAUAAUUUUUAAAAAUCUAUACACAUAAAACACACACACACGUAACGUGGUAUUUUAUACCUUCUCCAGAAUACUGUAUAUACUAUGGCCACAAGUGUGCAUCAUGGUGGUGAUCCAGAACCCUUCCCUUAUUAUUUAUUCCUAGUGCUAUAAGAAUAAAGUAAUGAGAAUUUUAAAAAUGUAAUAUAUGUAAAAUAACAUAUUUAUGAGGGUUCAAUUUGUUUGACUAUCCAUUCUGUGCAGGCAAAAAGCUUUUUAAAUGUUUAAACUGGACAUAGACUAGAGAUACAAUAACUGUGCUGCUGUAAAAUCAGCAUUUUAUCCAUUUGAUCGUAUUUGAAAUAUAAAUCUAAUAUAAUCUGUUUAUUAAUAUAUUUUCUUUGAAAUAGGGUGUUUGUUUUUUUUGAAUAUCAUAAUUAUAAUAAUCCAUAACUAUGUGGAUAUGCAUAUAAGAUCGAUUUUAGAGAGAGAAAAGCCCUCCAUAAAUGCAGAGAAAAGCCCUGUAACUUAGUACUAUAUAUGUUCCCUAAAACGGUGGACAGAGCAACAGACACCCUUGUGACACCCUUACCCAGUCAGCUAGCAGCUAAUGACGACCACUACUUGUGCAGUUAAUAAAAGGACAGGUAAUUGUCAUGGUUCUCAAGAUCUGGAGAGGUCGUGGUGUGUGUUUUUGUUUUCACCUCUCCCACCAGGGUGGAACUGGACCUUGACUCCUCGCCUCUGAACCGGCCCUGAACACACACCUGUGGCUCAUUCACACUGAUGCUGGCAGACUACUUAAGAUGGCAAGAGAGGCUGCUUCCUCGCUGGAUCGUCACACUACCUAGCAUCUUUUAGAUUCCCCGCCCGUCUUCCCUGCCGUCUGGAUUUCUGUGGAUGUGUGUGAGUGAGCGUGAGCAUUUUGGAGUGGACUUUCUGAGUGAGUUGUGGAUUAAGUUGAAGAUGAGCGUGUGUGUGCCUUGGACCUUCCCUCCCCUUUGGACCCCCCCUUCCACUCCCUGGAGCCCCGUGCUAUCUGUCUCACUGUAUAUAUGUAUGUAUCCUCACUUGGUGCCACAUUGUAAAUAAACCCUCACCUUCUCUCUAAACUUCAGAGUCCUGCGAGUGAGUCCUCUGCCUAAUCAUCUGUGACAGUAAUGUUUGUCGCGCUGUUGCACACACAGCACCCUCAUUUGUUUCAGUUCAUCAGUUGUUAUAGACUAUAGCAGGGGUGGGUAA
ensembl:lncRNA